GUGUGCAGAGGGUCCCUCUCACUUGCUCUCCCUGGUUCGAGCCCGGGUACGGACGGAGGCUAUACUGUUACACACACACAUGGUGCCUCCCCCCUCCUUCCACCUCCAUCAUGAAUAUGUAACACCCAUUCACACACCUUUCUGUUACCAAAGUGACAUUAACACUCACAGGCAAACAGGAGCCAAACAUCCCAAUCUACAUGUGAGACUGUGGACAUAACCACAGUUCACUGACUACCAUCGAUGGAGUGGGAGGAGGGCAGAAGAGGCCCAGCUGUAUUUCCCUGUGGCUGCUAGGUCUACUGGGAGCUGGGCUCUGAGGCAAGACGACCAGAAACUCAGGGCUCCUCUCCCUUCCUCCUUCUCCAUCCCUCCCUCCUCCCCUAUCCCUCUCUAUCAUCCUCUCCCUCUCUAUCCUCCCCAACACUCUGUCACCCUGACAGUUCACUCUGCACAACAGAUUCAUAUUCAUGAACUAUUUUGAUUAAAUGUGCAUCUAUAACCA